AAAUUGAAGAGUUUGAUCAUGGCUCAGAUUGAAUGCUGGCGGCAGGCCUAACACAUGCAAGUCGAACGGUAACAGGAAACAGCUUGCUGUUUCGCUGACGAGUGGCGGACGGGUGAGUAAUGUCUGGGAAACUGCCUGAUGGAGGGGGAUAA
rnacentral:rRNA from 1 species